rnacentral:lncRNA from 1 species
UGACACUAGAGCUUGCAAUUUUCCCUCUAACAUCUUGGGAUUUUACAGGACUGGUAUAACUAGAGGUGAUGGUGUUUAUCCAUGGGAAGGUCCAGGCAGCCUCUGAAUCCCACCCUUGGCUGAAAUUACAGCCUGUGGUAAUGAUUUCUCACCUAUUAAAUGCUCAGAAAGGUGAGUGAAAAUUCAUGUUGAAGUUGCUUCAGGUCUAUGGCUUUUGAGAGCAGAAGUCAUCCAACACGAUGAGAAGAUUCAGCAAUAGAUGCUGUUGGGGACAAACUGCCAAAAGCUUGUGGGGACUGAAAGGAUCAAGCUACAUGCCUGCAUGCUGGUUAUGUGUGAGGAACCGUAACUGACAGCAGGUGAAGCCAGCUACAAUUAAACAGUCUGUGAAGGGAGGAGAAGGCAGUCUCUGUCACAUAUGAGAGGAAAACAGAUACUUUGGGUGUCAGGUAACAAGGGGUGAGAACAAACUUCUCUGUUGAAUGUGCACGAUGUAAGUGGAUGAAUACAAACACUUCUCCCGCAACCAUGCAUUCACGGCCCUCCUUUCUAAUCUUUAAUUGGGAUAUAUGUAUAAGGGAGUGAAGGGGCUUCGUAUCACCCUCCUGUGAUGCUUUACUGCUACACAGAGCUCUGUGUGCAUUAACCAGCUCUAAAAAUUUCUUUGUAGCCUUUGCAAUGGGCACAGAAGUUGUCAGCAGAAGACCUGGACCUGUGCUACAGCUGGGAAGUCACAUCAGUUGCCGAGAGGGAGGAUCUGCAAGUUUUGGCACCCAAACCUUCUGACUAGGCUGAGGGACAGAGCUGACAGAGCCGCGAGGACGAUGCCUGAGGCCCUGGGGCACAGCAACAAGCACAGUUGCACACCAGCAAGGCCAGAGCUUGGAGCAUGCUGGGGAAACUCAACCCAGACAAUUGCAUUGGGCCUGAUCCUGCCGUCAUUUGUAGAGAGUGACAGAAAAUAGGGAAGGUAAGAACCUUACAAGGAGACCUGGCCCAUCUGUCUUCAGCCUGUCACCCUAAAGAGCAGAUUUUACUACGUGGUGCUUUUCAUUUGCUUUGAAUGGCCAUAUAAUAACACAAAUCUUUAUGUUAAGUGCUGGUAAUGCAGAAAACAGUCCUACUGUCAUGCUCAUUUUGCAAGGAAGUUUAGGGAUAGUUUAGAUAGUUGAGACAACUCAACUUCCAGUUACAUAUUUGAAUAAAUCUUCACUUUACCAAGGCUGCUUUUUGUUU